rnacentral:rRNA from 1 species
AUGGCGUUGGGACUCCGGGAAGGCGGCGCCGGCGAGCUGCAGGGCAAGGAGGGUAGCGGUGAGGCCACGGCGGCGGCUCCGGCGUACCGCUACGCCGCGACCGACUCGUUCGCCUACGAUGACAUGCCGCCGCUGCCGCAGCAGAUGGACCGGCAGCCGUCCGUGGUGCUCGGCGGGGAGGGGAUGCUCGGCGACGGCCGGAUCCCGGCGUCCGUGUUCGAGCGGGACACGUCGGAGACCGGCAGGGACUGGAGCAUGAUGUCCACCGAGUCGGUGUUCGGGCUCCAGGUCGCGCCCUCCUGCGACUUCACCGGCUACUUCCUCUCGCACCCGGAGCUCAUGGACAUAGCCACGCCGCCCCGCGACAGCUCCGCCGACGUCGCCCGCCCCUCCGCCACGUCCACGCCGCGGCAGUUCAACGCCGUCCCGGAGCUCGGCGACGCCGCCCCGAGCUACUCCUUCGCCUUCCCCAAUCUGAUGGAGGACAGGAGGUACAGCUCCAAGAAAUCUCGGCAAUCUAUCGACAUGCCGCCGACGCCGAGAACGGCAGAGUCGGGGGAGCCGGCAGCGGAGACGACGGCGCCGGAGAAGGCAAGCAGCAAACCGGAAGCGGAGCCGGAAGCGCCGAAGGGCGGCAUGUUCUCGUGGAUGCCCUGCUGCUCUUGA